UGCCAGCCGCCGCGGUAAUACGUAAGGACCGAGCGUUGUCCGGAAUCAUUGGGCGUAAAGGGUACGUAGGCGGGUUUUUAAGUUAGAAGUCAAAGGCUAUAGCUCAACUAUAGUAAGCUUCUAAAACUGGGGACCUUGAGUAAUGGAAGGGAAAGUGGAAUUCCUAGUGUAGCGGUGGAAUGCGCAGAUAUUAGGAGGAAUACCGGUGGCGAAGGCGACUUUCUGGCCAUUAACUGACGCUGAGGUACGAAAGCGUGGGUAGCAAACAGGAUUAGAUA
rnacentral:rRNA from 1 species